GAUGAACGCUGGCGGCGUGCCUAAUACAUGCAAGUCGAGCGAACAGAUGAGGAGCUUGCUCCUCUGACGUUAGCGGCGGACGGGUGAGUAACACGUGGAUAACCUACCUAUAAGACUGGGAUAACUUCGGGAAACCGGAGCUAAUACCGGAUAAUAUAUUGAACCGCAUGGUUCAAUAGUGAAAGACGGUUUUGCUGGCAGGUAUAGAUGGAUCCGCGCCGCAUUAGCUAGUUGGUAAGGUAACGGCUUACCAAGGCAACGAUGCGUAGCCGACCUGAGAGGGUGAUCGGCCACAUUGGAAGUGAGACGCGGUCCAGACUCCUGCGGGAGGCAGCAGAAGGGAAUGUUCCGCAGUGGGCGGAAGCCUGACGGAGUAACGCCGCGUGAGUUGUGAAGGUCUUCGGAUCGUAAAACUCUGUUAUUAGGGAAGAACAAAUGUGUAAGUAACUAUGCACGUCUUGACGGUACCUAAUCAGAAAGCCACGGCUAACUACGUG
rnacentral:rRNA from 1 species